UGCACUGUGUGUAGGUUUAAUCAAAUUUAGAAAAAGUGUAUUGAUGAUGAGAGAGAGAUUAUUUUUGGUAAGGUAAGGCUUGAAUAAAGCCAUCUGUUCUACUGUUACAGAGGAUUGACUGUAGUAGUGGCAGUGUCGUAGAUGGCACUGCCACAGGAUUAGAGGAUACAAGGCCAGUGUAGGGUGAUGAGAAUGAGUAGGUGGGAUCAAAACGCAGUGUUUGUACUGAGUAUCUUUGAUCGGACAAGUCAGUCAGUAUUUUUACAUCUAGGUUGGCUAUGGCAACCCCAUUUGUCUUUAUUGUGGGAAGAGGCAGUCAAAGCAGAACAAGGCAAGAGAAGCUAUAGACGAAGUACAGCAUUAAAUGUAGGAUGUCAUCAUCUGGGUCCCUACUUAAGUGACUCAAACCAGGCUCUGUGAGGUCUCUGACAGAAAUGUGACUACUGGUGCAUACGCUCUGUCUUUCAGAUCUAAACAGCAAUAUGCUGUUCUCAUUGCAGGUGUUACUCUGUUGCCACCACCUGUGCUUUGUGAAGUUGAAACUAAAUGGAUUUUGUUUGACAUUUUUGAUCAAACCACACAAAUGUUUGUUGCAAACACAUCUGGUUACUGUUUUUUUGUAUUUGGUAUCUAUCUGUCUUUACCUGGGCAAGACUUAGUUUUAUUAAAGAUAAGACUUAAAAGCAAUAAUCUUAAAAGAUUGAUUUCCCUCCCCUGAGAGAACUUUAGAGGUAUCUGUAUUCAAAAUAUAUGUAUGUAUCAGUCUGAAAAGAUGAAACUUAAAUCAUCUUUCUUGUCCUUUCUUUUCUUUGUUCCUACUCUGCCCCCAGCAACUGACUGAUCUCUGGAUGUCAGUGUUCAAAGGAACUGGGAAGCAGUUUACGGUUACCAUGUACUGUGCAACAAACAAUACCAAAUCAGAAUUCCAGGUCCUGUAAACUAAUAGUUUGGAAUACUGUGCGACUCCCAUAAAUGAUGGUCCUGAGAUUUUAGUGAAUGGAUUCUGCAGCUUUUGAAGGCAAGGCAGAGUGAAUGGGACUAAGCUGUGCUGCAGAGGAUGCCCUGGGGAAGAGAUGGAACAGACAGAGAGAAGAGGUGAUAUGGAAUUAUGGGGCCUGAUAGUGGCUUUAUGGCAGAGAAUCAGAGAUUUGAUUCCUUACUCUCUGGACUGGAAGGA